UCGGAUGUGGUGCACGGUGCACGCCCGCUGUUCAUGAGCACGCAUCGCCGGAGAUUGAAGCGGGAGGAACUGGGUUCGACUCCCAACAUCCGAA